AGCUUUGCGCAGUGGCGAUAUCGUAACCAAUGAGGUACAACCGCGGUGCGAUUAUUGCUAGUUGAAAACUAGCAAAUAUCCUCUUCCCGUAACCCUUGUCGAAAUCGCAGAAGUAUUUACGACAUCUAGUAACAACAUG